GGGUCUUUAGUGUAAUGGUUAACACCCUCGGCUCAUAACCGAGAGACAGAGAAUGCUUAGUACAGGUUCAAAUCCUGUAGGACCCACCA
rnacentral:tRNA from 1 species